CUGGUUUAUAAAUUUAGCACUUUUAGCACUUAGUGUAAUUUAGAGCUUAUUGCAUUAUCAUACGUUAAGUGGUUAUGGUACAAGGAGUCUUUCGGUGCUAUCGCUUUGUUUUAGUCAGAAUGUUUUUUAAAAGAUAAAGGAUCUAUUCCAGCUCUCAAAGUCCAAGGAUUUGGAAAAAACAGAGUGACUGCACCCAAAGACUCCUGGCACCAUAACUACUUUACAGACAACCAUUAAGGUUAAUUAAGGGGCAGAUGUUUGCGGUCUAUGUUUCCUAUGAUGCUCUGAGAGCCAUUGUUGCAGCCAUUGAAGUGUCAG